rnacentral:rRNA from 1 species
AUGUUUUUAGGGCUGUCAGCCUUCAUUGGGCUCCUGCUGUUAUCCCUUGGUGCAGGGCUCCUGCUGCCAGGAGGGGUGGGGCUCCGGGCCCUCCCCUUGGCAGGUGAAGCACUCCUCCUAGGGCUGCGACUGUCACGGGGGCUCCUCAUAGGGCUGCGACUGCCACGGGGGCUCUUCAUAGGGCUGCGACUGUUGCGGGGGCUCCUCCUGGGGCUGAGACUGUCACGGGGGCUCCUCCUUGGGCUGCGACUGUCGCGAGGGCUCCUUGAUCGCCUUUCAUCCCUCCUUGGGGAAACAGAGCGGCUAAGUAAAGCAAGAGACAUACAGUCAGUGUUUCAUACACAAAACAUGAUAGAAAAAAAAAGGAAUUGA